GAUAAAAUCUCUGGAGGAAUUCCUGGAUGAGUCCUUGAAUAAAUCCCUAGUAGAACAACCAAAGGAAUUUCUGCAAGAACUCCAGGGAGAUUGCCUGGAAAGAUCCCAGCAGAAAAACCAGGAGAUAGCUCUAGAAGAGUCCGUAGCAUAAUUUCUGAGAUACCACAGUUAGAAUUUCUGGAGGAAGAUUAGCUGGUAGAACCACAGGAAUUGCUUGAGGAAUCCCAGCUGGAAUAUCUGGAAUUCCUAGAAUUCCGGGAGGUAUCAUAGAAGUAAUUUCUAGAGAAAUCGUAGAAACAGGAAUGCCGGAGGUAUCUCAAGAGAAGUUCGUUGAGGAAUACCUACAAUUCUCCUUGAAAGGGUCGGCCGAAGUAUUUCUGAAGGAGUCCUAAUGAGAAUUUCGUGAAGAAUUCCAGCUGGAAUUUAUGGAGGAAGGUCAAUAGAAAUUCUUGGAGAAAUCCCCUGUGGAAUUUCUGGAAGAGCCUCUGGAUGAAGUCCUGGAUAAACCCUUGAAGAAAUCUGUGGAAGAAUCCCUGCAAGGAUUUUUAGAAAUUUCCUGGAAGAAUUUCUCUAGAAGAAUUCCUUAAGGUAUCACAGAGAGAAUUUUUGGAGGAAUUCUAAGAGAAAUUGCUGGAAGAAUUGCAGCAGGAGUUGCUUCAGGAAUCCUAGCCACAAUUCCUGGAUGAAUGCUAUGAAAAAUUUCUGAAAGAAUCUCCGAACAAAAUCUCUAAAGGAAUUCCUGGAAGAAUUUCCGCGGGAAAUUCUGAAAGGAUCCCAGGAAGAUUGUCUUGAAUAAUCCCACCAGAAACCUCUGAAGGAAUCCCAAUAAAAAAAAAUUUGAAGGAAUCCCUAGACGAAUUCAGAGAAGUAUCAUAAUAAGUGUUGGCGAAUACGCCGCGCCUCUAUGGUGUCGGUGUCUCUAGGCGACCUGAUUGAUUACCCCUCGCCGAUAAUAGCGGAGAAAGUGAAAUGACACGGGACGACAGUUCCCUACACAGUUAUACUGGUGAGUCUGUAUCGUUCAUAAGAGACACAAUAGAUGUGACAACUGAAAAAUUGCAGAUCAUGUUGUGUUGCUGGCAUGCAAGAUUCAAUAUUAAAACUAAAGAUCUUGAAGUGCUAUCAAAUAGUCAUUAAGUGAAGUUAUACUAAUAUUCAAAGUGAAAUAGUUUCCUUUCUAAAGUUUGACAGGAAUCUUAAAGCAACUACAUAUCAUACCCUUAACCUAAAUGAAGAAUUAUAAACUAGUGGGUACGGAUUAGUAGUGCGACUUGAGUGACGAUUGAACAUAUUGCUCGGCGCGAAUCAGGAGAAACAGAUAGCGACAUAGCUUGACCAACAUUAGACUGGUUCAUAGACUAGACUCAAAUUGGACGUAUGUAAGACGGGACUAAACGUAAGUUAGAACGAACCUUUUUCUUUAUUUGAUAAUCAACCAACACAUAUUGCUGCAUCGUUACAAACAAGAAUUAUACCUAUUACAGGAAAA